GCGGCAGGCUUAACACAUGCAAGUCGAGCGGAAACGAGAAUAGCUUGCUAUUCGGCGUCGAGCGGCGGACGGGUGAGUAAUGCUUGGGAAUAUGCCUUUGAGUGGGGGACAACAGUUGGAAACGACUGCUAAUACCGCAUAACGUCUACGGACCAAAGGGGGGGACGCUUCGGCACCUCUCGCUCAUUGAUUAGCCCAAGUGAGAUUAGCUAGUUGGUAAGGUAAUGGCUUACCAAGGCGACGACUCUCUAGCUGGUUUGAGAGGAUGAUCAGCCACACUGGGACUGAGACACGSCCCAGACUCCUACGGGAGGCAGCAGUGGGGAAUAUUGCACAAUGGGCGAAAGCCUGAUGCAGCCAUGCCGCGUGUGUGAAGAAGSCCUUCGGGUUGUAAAGCACUUUCAGCGAGGAGGAAAGGUUAGUAGUUAAUAACUGCUAGCUGUGACGUUACUCGCAGAAGAAGCACCGGCUAACUUCGUGCCAGCAGCCGCGGUAAUACGAGGGGUGCAAGCGUUAAUCGGAAUUACUGGGCGUAAAGCGUGCGUAGGUGGUUUGUUAAGCAAGAUGUGAAAGCCCUGGGCUCAACCUGGGAACUGCAUUUUGAACUGGCAAGCUAGAGUUUUGUAGAGGGUAGUGGAAUUUCCAGUGUAGCGGUGAAAUGGCGUAGAGAUUGGAAGGAACAUCAGUGGCGAAGGCGGCUACCUGGACAAAGACUGACACUGAGGCACGAAAGCGUGGGGAGCAAACAGGAUUAGAUACCCUGGUAGUCCACGCCGUAAACGAUGU
rnacentral:rRNA from 1 species